rnacentral:tRNA from 1 species
UCGUGGUGUAGCGGUAGCACACUCGGCGCGUAUUCGAGAGGUCCAGGUUCGAGUCCCGGCGA